GACGAACGCUGGCGGCGUGCUUAACACAUGCAAGUCGAACGGAAAGGCCCUGCUUUUGUGGGGUGCUCGAGUGGCGAACGGGUGAGUAACACGUGAGUAACCUGCCCUUGACUUUGGGAUAACUUCAGGAAACUGGGGCUAAUACCGGAUAGGAGCUCCUGCUGCAUGGUGGGGGUUGGAAAGUUUCGGCGGUUGGGGAUUGACUCGCGGGUUAUCAGCUUGUUGGUGGGGUAGUGGCUUACCAAGGCUUUGACGGGUAGCCGGCCUGGGAGGGUGACCGGCCACAUUGGGACUGAGAUACGGCCCAGACUCCUACGGGAGGCAGCAGUGGGGAAUAUUGCACAAUGGGCGGAAGCCUGAUGCAGCAACGCCGCGUGCGGGAUGACGGCCUUCGGGUUGUAAACCGCUUUCGCCUGUGACGAAGCGUGAGUGACGGUAAUGGGUAAAGAAGCACCGGCUAACUACGUG
rnacentral:rRNA from 1 species